CAAAGGCUUUCCCUGAGAAAUGUCCUUGUGGCUAUGUGCCAGCACAGGAUUCCCCCAUAGACCAGACCAGCAGUCGGCAGGCUGGAGCCUUCCUCAAACCCUCCAGUAAGUCAGGGAUUAGAAGUCAUUCCCUGGGAGACUUUCGGCAGAGUCAUGUGCCCAGCAGCUCUGCCCCAGUAUUUAAGCCCGCCCAGCUUUGGCAUGCAUCCUGGUGACGUCUCAGUGCCUCACAGGCCCGCCCUUUCCUGUUUGGCAUAGCCCUGUGCUUCCUGCCAGGCCACAUCUCCUCUGAGUGUUCCCUAAGAGUGGUGUUCCCAACCCUUGACCCCAAAACCAGGGUACGUUGUGGCUUUGACUUCCGCAGCUGGACAGAGCCAUGGAAGUGCCUCUGCUGGCAGCCAUUCCACUGCCCUGUAGGGGCAGCACUGCCUGUCUACUCUCAUGCCCCAGCACCCCCUGCACACCCCUACACACCCCCUAUCUAUGAGCCUGUCCCAAACAAAGGGUGGGAGGAGACGGGCAAUGUACCUGCGUGCAGAUGAUAAAAGGACCUAGGGGUAUUAUGUGUUCCAAACUUCAAAAGGUUAGGCAAAAUUCAAUGGGUCAGGUUUUGUUUUGUUUUAAUCACACACAGGGAGCUCUGCAGUGCCGCAGGAAGUGGAGGGUGGGGAAAGGAUAUUUCUUUCCUGACUUGUGGUUAGGGAAGAACUAGGUCUUCUAAGUCAGAGACCUCUGCUCAAAUCCCUGCUCUGCUGGCUACCAUCUCCUGUGUAACCCUGGGUGAAACGCCUAACCUCUCUGACCACUGCAAGCUCAGGUGUUCAGUAGAGUCUGUCUCAUCAGGAGGGCGAGCAUUUGGAGAGAGUGAACUCCACAGAAGACACAUGGUCUGUCUGCUUCCCUGCUAAAUCCACGGUAUGAAUGCUUGCAGGGACUGUGUCCCUUCUGGUAAUAAAUAAACAAAGAAUGGAGGGAGAAAACUUGUCUUAUUUUACUUCUUAUUUAUGAAAUCAAACCUUUCUGGAGAAGGAUUACAAGGAUGAAUGCUUGAAGCCAGGGAGACCUGCCGUCACUGGGGAACGCUCAACCUCAGAAGCCAGCAAUUAUUCUCUAUGGCUUCAACAAAGAACAGCUGCCCUUCAGAAGACAGAACCUGGGUGGAGACUUAAGCCAUGAAAAUAAAUAAUCUGGCUGUGUGCAGGGGCCCAAUCUGGAGGCUGAAGCCAAAGGAAGUAGAGUUUUGAGGGCAUUGUGAGUUACAUAGCAUGUUUGAGGCCGGCCGGAGCUACAUGGCACCAGCAGGCUUGAGAGAUGGCCUUACACAAGCAAGAGGAUCUGUCCUCUUCAUUGGGACCUAGACUCAGAAAGAGUUCUGUGACGAAUCCAGCUGACCAAGAAACCUGUGGAGGAGGAAGAGAAGGUAUUCCAAGCAGUGGAGUAAUCUGGGCAAAGUCAUGGAAUGAUGACAAAUUCUGGGACAUAGAGGUGACAGAGUCAGACUCCUGUGUGGUCCCUAUGCUAGUAAGGCAUAAUAGUGACCAGCUGAGAGGUAGACAACCUCAGGUGGUGUUAGACAAACCCAAGUUCAAGAACGGACACUGCACCAGUUCCAUCUUUCUGGCUUCACUCCCUGAAAAGCAAGGGCUGGGAGGAAGAUGGGAAGAAGUAUCCUCUCCCUCAGGGUGCCCUCGGCAAAGAUGGAGGAUAGCACCCAGAAGCUCUGAGGAGGCUUGUGUUUAAAGAGAAAACACUGAAACGGCUGUGUCUUUGCUUCAGCUUGCUUGAACCACAAUAUUUAUUUGGAAUUUGAAACUCAUUAAGAGUGGCUGUGAAGUGUUUACCCAGGGUAACUUGGGUUAUCAAGAGACUGAGAAAGUUUGACUGAAAUGACCCUGAAUCCCUUCUGAGCCUUCAGUGUGCCAGAGGUCUGCAACACAGGAAGCACAGGGAGACACUGUGAGACUUGGAAGUUGCUGUUGGUCUCCAACUCCAGCUCACACUUUGCCAUUCAGUCCCUGUGCAGGUUAAAGUCCUGGGAUAUCUGGAGUGUCAGAUGCUUCCUUCAUAACAACCUGGUAUCACAGACUUGUGGGCUUAUUUCAAAUAAGCAGUACUUGGCACAUAACAGGUCCCAGCCAAGUACAAAGCUGUGCACAAAGCUAGCCAAGGCUUCCCUCAGUAGCCUACUCCUUGGUCAGAAUAAGGUCCUUUUGAAUGCUUCCCAUGGGAUGUUCCCCUGCCCCCAAAUACACUAUCAGGUCUCGUUUAUAAGGAGAUAUAAUGUGGGUUUGGGCCUCAGAAUAUAGCUUCAAUGAAUUUUGGGAAUUUAGGUAUGUGCUUGGAACCACUCCAAGGUUAAAAAUCUUUUAAAAACUAAAGCAUUAUUAAAAUUAUCCUGAAAAUCUUAUCCACUGUGUUUUGAUGUCCAUCCAUUCCCA
ensembl:lncRNA